GUGUUGCCAUUUAAACAUGUUAAUUACAAAAACAAAACGUUUGGUGUACUGUCUCUGGAAAAAUCAACAGUGAUUGAUCAGCCUUUAUUAAUGUACAGUAUUGUAGAUGUUAUUACCUAGGUGAAUCAAAAUUUGCUGAAAUAUAUGCUACAGUAAGAGCGCCUGCAUGGUUAUCCAUCAGAUGCCUUUCAAAGUUGAGUUCGUUACUAUAGCAACAGUAAAACUAAAACAAACUUUCGUUAUGUCGAGAUAACGAGAAAAAUAAGUCGUUAUAACGAGAAAAC